UUCUUAACUCUGUUUUUCCUUGAAGAGAAUUCUAAUGCUUUUGCUAGCUUCUCUCAGACCCAUUGAAGCAAAAUAUUCUUGAUUGGAAGACUCGGUUCAACAUAAUGGAAGGGAUUUGCAGAGGUCUUUUGUACCUUCACAGAGAUUCAAGACUAAAGAUCAUACACAGAGAUCUAAAAGCCAGCAACAUUUUGUUAGAUGAGAAUUUGAAUCCAAAGAUAUCUGAUUUCGGACUUGCAAGAGUUUUCCAAGUGAAUGAAGAUGAAGCUAACACAAGAAGGGUUGUUGGAACUUAGUAAGUAUCCAUUCCCUACAAGAAUUGUCAGUUUUAUCAUAACAACUUGAAUGAAACUUUUGUUUUUUUUUUGCAGCGGGUAUAUGUCACCGGAAUAUGCAAUGGAAGGAUUCUUUUCAGAAAAAUCAGAUGUUUUCAGCUUGGGAGUUAUAUUUCUAGAGAUCAUAAGUGGGAAAAAAAACUCCCACAAGGAAGACAACAAUCUAAACCUUUUAGCUUAUGUAAGUGUGCGAAUCAAUGUUUAGUAACUUAUGCUUAUGUUUUGAAACUUAUUUAAGUUUGGUCUCUUUUUAAAGGCGUGGAAGCUAUGGAAUGACGGCAAGGCUAAUUCUCUAGCAGAUCCAACCAUCUUUAAUGAGUGUUUUGAGAAAGAGUUUAUAACCUGGAUGAAGAAACUGAAUUUGAGUAAAAGCAGAAAAACAAAACCGACACAUGUUUUUGUCUUAACAGAGUGAACUAGAACAUCAUCACCGUUUUCUGUUUUGGGUUGCUUUGCGAUAUUUGAUAAGAUCACUUCUGCAGGUAAACAAGUCUACUCAAGAGAUGAAAAUACAAGUCUACUAACGUAAGUAGUCCUAUGAUGUCUUCGUCACACUUCAAAUCUUGUCUGCACCAAAAGAAAAGUCAGCUAAUACUCCACCACAGACUUCUUAUAGAGACUACUUUAUUAAUCGACCUUUCUCUGGAUUAUCUUAGAUGCAAAUCUUCCUAAGAGAAACAACAAAAGCAAAUUUGGAACCAUUCUGUUUCAAAUAGUUAUGGUGAUUCUACUCAACAGACGUAGUUUUCUUGUUCUUCUUCUACUUGCAACAUUCUCUUGCUUCUCUUUGAAGCUCUGUUUCGGCGAGGACAGAAUCACGUUCUCAACUCCGAUCAAAGACUCAGAGACACUUCUCUGCAGCAACGGUAUGUUCAGGUUCGGUUUCUUCACUCCUGUAAACUCCACUGGUCAUUUACGUUAUGUUGGGAUCUGGUACGAUAAGGUUCCAGUUCAAACUGUUGUUUGGGUUGCUAACAAAGACACCCCCAUCAACGACACUUCCGGUGUUGUUUCAAUCUCUCAAGACGGAAAUCUUGUGGUUACCGAUGGUCGAGACCGCAUAGCAUGGUCGACCAACGUCACAGUACCAGUGGCUCCAAAUCCUACAUGGGUUCAGCUAAUGGACAAUGGCAAUCUUGUGUUACAAGAAAACAGAAACAACGGUGAGACUCUUUGGGAGAGUUUCAAGCAUCCUUAUAACUCUUUCUUGCCAAGAAUGACUCUUGGAACCAACAACAGAACCGGAGAGAAUCUAAAGCUUACCUCAUGGAGAAGCUAUGCAGAUCCUUCAACAGGGAAUUAUACAGCUGGUAUUUCCCUUUUCCCGUUUCCUGAGCUUAUGAUCUGGAAGAGCGAUGUCCCAAUCUGGCGUAGCGGACCUUGGAACGGUCAGAUUUUCGUUGGCGUGCCCGCUUCAGUGUCUCUUUUAUUUUUUGAUGGAUUAAACGUUUCCAAUGAUAAUGAAGGAACAUUUACAGUGUCAUAUGCCACUGAUUCUUUCAUGCAUCACUUUAACUUGGAUCCUGAUGGAGUUCUAUAUAUAAGAAGUUGGAGUACUUCUACCGGAGCUUGGGAGACCGGUACCACUAUUCCAACGACACCUUGUGAUGAAUACGGUAGAUGUGGUCCAUUCGCGAGCUGCAGUUUAAAGGAAGUUCCGACAUGUAAUUGCAUUAAAGGGUUUGUGCCGAGAAAUAACACAGAUAGGAAUGAGAGAAAUGGAGGGAGCGGGAGUAGUGAAUGUGUGAGAAGAGUUCCAUUGAAGUGCAAUGAAAGUAAUGGUGUUGGUGGUGGUGGAGGAGGAAAAAGAGACGGGUUUUCAAAAAUGCAGAAGAUGAAAGUACCAGCAAAUGCGGAAAAGGCUCUAGCUACUGAGAAGGAUUGUCCUAAAGUCUGUUUAGAUAACUGUUCUUGCACUGCUUAUGCUUAUGAUCGGGGAAUAGGAUGCAUGCUUUGGAGUGGUGACUUGGUUGAUAUGCAAUUAUUCUUGGCAAGUGGUAUCGAUCUUCAUAUUCGAGUUGCGCAUUCUGAACGCGGUGAGUAAAAUAAACUCCAAUAGCCUCGCUUGCUUUAUUCUUCUCCAAUUAAUUUGACUUCAUUGACAUGUUAUUUUUCAACAGAUAUUGUUGAAACACAUAAUAAGCGAGCAAUUAUGAUCACAGCAACAGUGCUAGGCGUUGCGUUUGGUGCUCUGGUCUGCGUUCUUUUGGCAUGCCGUAAAUUCAAAAAGCGUCCAGGUUAGAGUUUUUGUUUUUUACUCGUUGAUGAUAGUUUCAAAUUGUUUCUUUAAUCAUAAUUUGCCAUCUUUGCCUUAACAGCACCAGAGAAAGAUACAAGUGCAGAGCUAUUGUUUAGAAGAAUGGAAGAACUUACAAGCGAUAACCAGUCUGCUUCUAACCAAGUCAAGCUCAAAGAGCUUCCUCUUUUUGAGUUUAAAGUGUUGGCUACAGAAACUGAUAACUUCUCUCCCGGAAACAAGCUCGGGCAAGGCGGAUUUGGUCCUGUUUACAAGGUAAAGACAUUAAACAAGAAUCCUUCUGAUAAUCUCAGAUACUCAGACUAAUGAAGUGACUGGUAAUCAUUUUGUUUAGGGUAAGUUACCAGAAGGGCAAGAAAUUGCAGUGAAGAGGCUCUCAAGGGCAUCAGGACAAGGACUUGAGGAACUUUUGAAUGAGGUUGUGGUGAUUUCAAAGUUGCAACAUCGGAAUCUAGUGAAGUUACUUGGCUGUUGCAUUGAAGGUGAAGAAAGGUUGUUAGUAUAUGAGUACAUGCCAAAGAAAAGCUUGGAUGCCUUUCUAUUUGGUAAACUUAUAUCCUCUCUUUCUUAACUCUGUUUUUACUUGAAGAGAAAACUAAAGAUUUUGCUAGCUUCUCUCAGACCCAUUGAAGCAAGAGAUUCUUGAUUGGAGGACUCGGUUCAACAUAAUGGAAGGGAUUUGCAGAGGUCUGCUGUACCUUCACAGAGAUUCAAGACUAAAGAUCAUACACAGAGAUCUAAAAGCCAGCAACAUUUUGUUAGAUGAUAAUCUGAAUCCAAAGAUAUCUGAUUUCGGACUUGCAAGAGUUUUUCAAGUGAAUGAAGAUGAAGCUAACACAAGAAGGGUUGUUGGAACUUAGUAAGUAUCCAUUCCCAACAACAAUUGUUAUUUUUACCUUAACAACUUGAAUGAAACUUUUGUUUUUUUGCAGCGGGUAUAUGUCACCGGAAUAUGCAAUGGAAGGUUUCUUUUCAGAAAAAUCAGAUGUUUUCAGCUUGGGGGUGUUAUUUCUAGAGAUCAUUAGUGGGAGAAAAAACUCUCACAAGGAAGAAAAUAAUCUCAACCUUUUAGCUUAUGUAAGUUUACCAGUGGGUGUUUAGUAACUUAUGCUUAAGCCUUGAAACUUUUGUAAAUUUGAUCUUUUUAAAGGCGUGGAAGCUAUGGAAUGAUGGCGAGACUGCUUCUCUAGCAGAUCCAACCAUCUUUGAUGAGUGUUUUGAGAAAGAGAUUACAAAUUGUGUUCAGAUUGGUUUGUUGUGUGUGCAAGAAAUUGCAAGCGAUAGACCAAAUGUGUCAACCGUGAUUUGGAUGCUAACUACCGAGAACACUAACCUUCCUGAGCCGAAGCAGCCUGCGUUUAUAGCAACAAGAAGAGUUUUCGAGGCUGAAUCUUCUGGCCAGAGCAGUCAAAAGGUCUCCAUCAACGAUGUGAGCCUCACAACUGUUACCGGACGUUAAGCUCACACAAGCCAUUUUGUAUGUUUAUUUUUACCAGUGGGUGUUUAGUAACUUAUGCUUAAGCCUUGAAACUUUUGUAAAUUUGAUCUUUUUAAAGGCGUGGAAGCUAUGGAAUGAUGGCGAGACUGCUUCUCUAGCAGAUCCAACCAUCUUUGAUGAGUGUUUUGAGAAAGAGAUUACAAAUUGUGUUCAGAUUGGUUUGUUGUGUGUGCAAGAAAUUGCAAGCGAUAGACCAAAUGUGUCAACCGUGAUUUGGAUGCUAACUACCGAGAACACUAACCUUCCUGAGCCGAAGCAGCCUGCGUUUAUAGCAACAAGAAGAGUUUUCGAGGCUGAAUCUUCUGGCCAGAGCAGUCAAAAGGUCUCCAUCAACGAUGUGAGCCUCACAACUGUUACCGGACGUUAAGCUCACACAAGCCAUUUUGUAUGUUUAUUUAAUAUAUAUAUGAACUCCUAUGUUCCCAAAUUUUUGUUAUCUUGCUUAUGUUUAAUUGUUAGAUUAAAGAAUAAAAGAUGUAUUUCAGAGAAGUUAUGUUCAGAUUCACUAAUUACAGAUUUGGUAUUAUUUACCUCAGUUAAAAAACACUUUAUCUGAAAGGGAGCUGUGUCGAUUAUUUCAAUAGAUUCUAGUACUGGACCUACUCUGAGAUGCAUUAACGAACCUCGAUGAAGAAACUGAAUCUGAAUAAAAGCAGCAAAACAAAACCAACACAUGUUCUUGAGAAGCCAGAGUAGGUUCUGCCUUGACGGAGAGAAUUAGAACAUUAUUAUCGUUUUUUUUCUAGUUUUGGGUUGGUUUGCUAUAUUGAUUAUGAUGUUACUUCUGCAAGUAAACAAUUUUACUCAAGAGAUGAAAAAUACAAGUCGGCUAACGUGAGUAGUCCUGUGACUCCUGUCGCUUUCUUUGUCACAUUUCAAAUCUUGUCUGCACCAAAAACUUCUUCAAAGUCUUCUAAUAGAGACAAAGACGACUACUUUAUUAAUUGGCCUCUCUUUGGAUUCUCUUUAAGAUGAAACUCUUCUCAAGAGAAACAACAAAGCAAAUUUAACACCAUUCCUUGUCAAAUAGUUAUGGUGAUUCUACUCAGCAGACGUUGUUUUCUUGUUCUACUUCUAGUUGCAACAUUCUCUUGCUUCUCCCUGAAGCUCUGUUUCGGCCAGGACAGUAUCACGUUCUCGACUCCGAUCAAAGACUCAGAGACACUUCUCUGCAAAAACGGUAUUUUCAGGUUCGGUUUCUUCACUCCUUUAAACUCCACUGGUCAUUUACGUUAUGUUGGGAUCUGGUACGCUAAGGUUCCAGUUCAAACUGUCGUUUGGGUUGCUAACAAAGACGCUCCAAUCCACGACACUUCCGGUGUUAUCUCGAUCUCUGGCAAAGGAAACCUCGUGGUUACCGAUGGUCGAAACCGCCUUCUAUGGUCGACGAACGUCACGCUACCACUGGCUCCAAUUCCAAACGCUACAUGGGUUCAGCUAACGGACAAUGGGAACCUUCGGCUGCAAGAAAACAGAAACAAGGGUGAGAUUCUGUGGGAGAGUUUCAAGCAUCCUUAUAACUCUUUCUUGGCGAAAAUGAUUAUCGGGACCAGCAACAGGACGGGAGAGAAUCUAAAGCUUACUUCAUGGAGAAGCUAUACAGAUCCUUCCACAGGGAACUAUACAGCUGGCAUUUCCCUUUUCCCGUUUCGUGAGCUCAUGAUCUGGAAGAGCAAUGUCACAAUCUGGCGUAGCGGACCUUGGAACGGUCAGAUAUUCGUGGGCUUAGAGGAUGAGGUAGCUCUUCUGUUUCUUGAUGGGUAUAAUAUUAUCAGUGAUAAUAAUGAAGGAACAUUUACAGUGUCAUAUGCUACUGAUUCUCCCAUGUAUCACAUGAACUUGGAUCCUGAUGGACUUCUAUAUAUAAGAAGCUGGAGUACUUCUACGAGAGCUUGGGAGAUCGGUAACACUAUUCCAACGACAACUUGUGAUGUAUACGGUAGAUGUGGUCCAUUCGCGAGCUGCAGUGUAAAGGAAGUUCCGGUAUGUAAAUGCGUAAAUGGGUUUGUGCCGAGGAAUAGCACGGAGUGGAAUCGAGGGAUCUUCGCUAAUGGAUGUGCGAGAAGAGUUCCAUUGAAGUGCAAUGUAAGUGGUGGAGGAAACGGAGAUGGAUUUUCUAAAAUGCAGAAGAUGAAAGUACCAGCCAAUGCGGAACAGACUCUAGCUAACGAAGAAGCUUGUCCUAAAGUUUGUUUAGAUAACUGUUCUUGCACAGCUUAUGCAUAUGAUCAAGGAAUAGGAUGCAUGCUUUGGAGCGGUAACUUGGUUGAUAUGCAAUCGUCUUUGAGGAGUGGUAUUGUUGAUCUUAAUAUUCGGGUGGCCAAUUCGCAUUCAGGUUAGAGUUUUGUUUACUCUGAUAGUCUCUAUUGUUUUCUUCUUCUCCAAUUAGUUUGACUUCAUCGACUUAUUAUUUUUCAACAGACCGUGAAAAAACACAUAGUAAUCGAGCAAUUAUGAUCACAGCAUCAGUGCUAGGCGUUGCGUUUGUUGCUGUGGUCUGCAUUCUUUUGGCAUGCCGUAAAUUCAAAAAGCGUUCAGGUUAGAGCUUUGUUUACUCCUUGAUCAUAGUUUCAGACUGUUUGCUUCAUUGAUCAUUUGCCUUAGCAGCACCAGAGAAAGAUAGAAGUGCAGAGAUAAUGUUUAAAAGAAUGGAAGCACUUACAAGUGUAAACGAGUCUGCUCCUAAUCAAGGCAACCUCAAAGAUCUUCCUCUUUUUGAGUUUAAAGUGUUAGCUGCAUCAACCGAUAAUUUCUCUCUCAUAAACAAGCUCGGUCAAGGCGGAUUUGGUCCUGUUUACAAGGUAAAGGCACUAAACAAGAAUCCUUUUGAUAAGAGGUAUCAAUAAUCUCAGACUAAUUGAGUGGCUGGCAAUUUUUUUUGUUUAGGGGAUGUUGCCUGAAGGGAAAGAAAUUGCUGUCAAAAGGCUCUCACGGGCGUCAGGACAAGGGCUAGAGGAACUUAUGAACGAAGUGGUUGUGAUUUCGAAGUUGCAGCAUCGUAAUCUGGUUAAGUUACUUGGCUGUUGCAUUGAAGGUGAAGAAAGGUUGUUAGUAUAUGAAUACAUGCCCAAGAAAAGCUUGGAUGCCUAUCUAUUUGGUACACUUAUCUCCUCUGUUUCUUAGCUCUGUUUUUUACUUGAAGAAGAAGUUAAUGCUUUUGUUAGCUUCUCUCAGACCCAUUCAAGCAAAAGAUUCUUGAUUGGAGGACUCGGUUCAACAUAAUGGAAGGGAUUUGCAGAGGUCUUUUGUACCUUCACAGAGAUUCAAGACUAAAGAUCAUACACAGAGAUCUAAAAGCCAGCAACAUUUUGUUAGAUGAUAAUCUGAAUCCAAAGAUAUCUGACUUCGGACUUGCAAGAGUUUUCCGAGCAAAUGAAGAUGAAGCUAACACAAGAAGGGU
rnacentral:lncRNA from 1 species